CUCCUCCUCCGGCCCCGCCAGCCCCGAGCCGGGAGGGGCAAUAUGCCUGCCCAUUGCUGGAUGUUCCUGUGAGAACAAGAUGCCAUCUUGUGGUUGGAUUUUCUUCUCCUAAACCUGAGCUUGCUUUUCCAAGAAACUAGUUCAAUUGUCCUGACAGCUUGAGAAAGCAAAAUAAUUAAACCUGCAUUUUUGGAUUUAAUUAUGAACUCAAGUGCUCCACUAAGACCUACAGACUUUUACAAUGAAACCUGGACAAUUUCAAGAGGCAGUCAGACUUUUCAUCAAUUAGCUGGAGAACUUCAUCCAUCCCAUUUUUUCUGGAAAAUAUUUGAACCAAGAAAUUUUGAAUCAACAGCUGC